rnacentral:lncRNA from 1 species
CUGCUGGGCUGGACUUGAGGUUCACGGCCACAUGGUUCCCUGUGCAGCGCCCCGUGGGUCCCAGCAGACACAGCACCAUAAUGGGAGACUUCUAGGCCGAGAGGGCAAAAGCUUCAAACAGCAGGCGGCAGCACCAGCUGUGUGGUGGCUGGGAGCUGGUCUAGCCUCCGCCUUCCUUCCAGAAGUCUCCCCAGCAUCCUCAACCAGGUCAGAUCCCCCAGCAUGACUCAACAUCCCUUCGACUUCCCUUCUGCAGCCCUGGCAGGAGCUGUGUUGCAGCGGUGCCUGUUGCAUGUGGAAGUCUCCCUUCAAGGUUUGCAUCAUGGAACUCACCUGGCCCAACCUCUCAGGGAGGAAAAUUCCAACCAGAGAGGGACGUCCAGGCCAGGGCUCUACUCCGGACAGAGACCCCGUCCCUGCAAGGGACAGCCAGUCAGCCCUGUCCAGCCCCGUCCAGCCCUGUCCAGCCCUGUGCAGCCAGUCCAGCCAUUCUGACUGCAGCGUUGAAACCUCUUAUCCACGUGUGGUGGGAGCCCCCUGCUGACCAGAGUGAGGAGUGGCAGAAUGGCAGGAAGGUGAGCAGACAUGCCCUGGAGAGACUCAGGGGGCCAGUGAGUCAGAGCCCAGCUCUCCAUGCUCCUGGCUUGUGAUGUGGCCUCUCCAGGUACUCCUGCAUCUCCUGGAGGCACCAACGUUCUCAUAGCUCUCUAGGCCUCUGGACAUUUGCACCUGCUGAUGCUGAGACCCAGAGGGCCUUUUAUCAGUUAACUUCAGGUGAACUAGCAGUUAUUGUGCACCUAUUGUGUGCUGGGCACUCUGAGUAUGUGCAAGGUCUGGCCCACAAGGAGCUCACAGUUCAGUGUGGGGCAGACAUGAAGUGAGCUCACUGCAUUAUCAGGUGCGUGUCCUGUCCCCAGCCUGGCUGCCAAUACUUGAGCACCCUCCUCAGAGAAGCCUCCCCGGAUUGCCCUCUGCCCAGCCCAGCCCAGCCCAGCCCUCCACUGCCUGCUCUGCGUCCUCUGGAACAGCGUGUGUUCAGUACUGCAGGGAUGUGAGCCCCAUGCAGGCAGGGAUUCGGCCUUGUUGUACCAGUGUCUGGGACAGUGCCUGGCACAACGUAGGUGCUCCAUAAACAUUUGUGGGA